rnacentral:rRNA from 1 species
GAUGAACGCUGGCGGCGUGGAUAAGGCAUGCAAGUCGAAUGGGUUUAGACCCAUGGCAAACGGGUUAGUAACACGUAGGAAUCUACCUUGAAGUCAUGAAUAAUUUGGAGAAAUCUAAAAUAAUACAUGAUGUGCUCUACGGAGUAAAGAUUUAUCGCUUCAAGAGGAGCCUGCGUCCUAUCAGCUUGUUGGUGAGGUAAUGGCUCACCAAGGCUAUGACGGGUAGGGGGCGUGAGAGCGUGACCCCCAACAUUGGCACUGAGACACUGGCCAAACUCCUACGGGAGGCUGCAGUCGAGAAUCUUCCGCAAUGGACGAAAGUCUGACGGAGCGACGCCGCGUGCAGGAUGACGGCCCUCGGGUUGUAAACUGCUUUUUUUGGGGAGCAAUUUCGAUGAGAGUACCCAAAGAAUAAGAGGUUACUAACUCUG